GCCUUCUUAGCUCAGUGGUAGAGCGUUGCACUUGUACCCUCGGGUUGAUGCAAAGGUCAGUCGUUCAAUCCGGCUAGGAGGCA
rnacentral:tRNA from 1 species